UACGUAGGGUGCGAGCGUUGUCCGGAAUUAUUGGGCGUAGAGAGCUUGUAGGCGGUCUGUCGCGUCUGCUGUGAAAAUCCGGGGCUCAACCCCGGACUUGCAGUGGGUACGGGCAGACUAGAGUGUGGUAGGGGAGACUGGAAUUCCUGGUGUAGCGGUGAAAUGCGCAGAUAUCAGGAGGAACACCGAUGGCGAAGGCAGGUCUCUGGGCCACUACUGACGCUGAGAAGCGAAAGCAUGGGGAGCGAACAGG
rnacentral:rRNA from 1 species